UCGGGAAUUUUGGGCAAUGGGCGAAAGCCUGACCCAGCAACGCCGCGUGAAGGAUGAAGUAUUUCGGUAUGUAAACUUCGAAAGAAUAGGAAGAAUAAAUGACGGUACUAUUUAUAAGGUCCGGCUAACUACGUGCCAGCAGCCGCGGUAAUACGUAGGGACCAAGCGUUGUUCGGAUUUACUGGGCGUAAAGGGUGCGUAGGCGGAAGGAUAAGUUAGUUGUGAAAGGCCUGGGCUUAACCUAGGAACUGCAAUUAAGACUGUCCAUCUAGAGUUGAGUAGAGGGGAGCGGAAUUUCCGGUGUAGCGGUGAAAUGCGUAGAUAUCGGAAGGAACAUCAGUUGCGAAGGCGGCUCUCUGGACUCAAACUGACGCUGAGGCACGAAAGCGUGGGUAGCGAACAGGAUUAGAUACCCAAGUAGUCCCUGAGCGGGCUGGCAAGGCGCAU
rnacentral:rRNA from 1 species